rfam:Candidatus Kaiserbacteria bacterium RIFCSPHIGHO2_01_FTLL_54_36b rifcsphigho2_01_scaffold_652, whole genome shotgun sequence.
GACCUACAGGAGUAGCAAUAUUCCCAUGGUCGUGGAAAGCCCAACGAAGAUACUGAACUCCACGUUCAGCGACUCUUCGUUGGGUCAUGUCCCGAAAGGGGCAUGGGCGCAAGCC